UUCUUACCUCUUGGGCGCCUUUGGGGCCUUGGGCUGUGUUUGGCUGAACAUCCGGCAGAAAUCAUUGCUGCACUGAAAAGUCAGAGAGCACGGGGAAAGUGAGGAGGCCGACGCUUCAAUCAACAAUAGCAUCGCAUUCCAUCUCAAAACUCAUACCAGGUAAGCAUUGAUUCAGCAUUUUCGACAAUCGAACCAAAUGCUUCGUUUAAUUUCCGUUAAGCUGCCCCAACAAUUAAGGCGCAGAGCUUCACCAAUCUGCCAUGGCCACUUAUACUCAACCUCCUCUCUCAAGCCCAUCUCAGACCCCCCUAAUUCCACGGACCCAAAAUCUCUUACAGUUUCCUUCCUCCGAAACUCGUGUGGGUUGUCCUUAGAAUUGGCCACUUCAGCUUCCAAGAAGCUCAACAUUGAGAACGUAGAGAAUCCCAAAUCCGUUCUGAAUCUGUUGAGAACUCACGGUUUGACGCAGAACCACAUCAUACGCUUAAUUAGUAGUCGUCCAUUAUUGCUUUCGGCCGAUUUAGGCAAUACCCUUAAGAACAUGGAGUUGUUUAAAUCCUUAGGGUUCUCUGGCGCUAACCUCGCCAAAAUGCUCAGCAAAUACCCAAAUGUGCUAGAAAGUGAUGCAUACACUGCUGUUGAGUUUUUUAGAGCACAUGGCUUUGGUGAUAAGCAAAUAAAAACUUUGACUAUGACGUGUCCUGAACUUUAUGUGUAUAAUGCACAAAAGAUUCUUCAGCCAAAGUUGGAGUUUUUCAAAUCGUUAGGUUUUUCAGAUCUUGAAAUUACAAAGCUUUUAUCCGUAGAGCCGUAUAUUCUAAAAAGGAGCCUCGAAAAACAAAUCAUUCCGUGUAUUCAAGAGCUUAGGCGGUUUCUUGGAACUGACGAGAAUGUCUUAAAGGCUAUAAGGAGAUGUUACGGAGUACUUAGAACAGACGUGGUGCAUAUAUUACAGCCCAACAUCAAUAAGUUGAUAAGCCAUGGUGUUCCCCAGUCAUUAGUUUUGAAACUCUUCUUUAUAAGACCUUUGUCACUGCGUACCUGUGGCAAUCGGUUUAGUGAGAUUGUUAAUGAAGUUAUGAAAUUGGGUUUUGAUCCCAAUUGUCUGAAAUUUGUUCUAGCCAUCCUGUCCAUGUCACUAAAUAGUAAAACGCUGUGGGAGCAGAAGUUGGAAGCUUUUAGAAAUUUUGGUUUGUCAGACGAUGAGAUUUGUUCAGCAUUCAAGCGGCAACCCUUGUGUAUGGCUAUUUCGGAGAAGAAGAUCAAGAAAAUGAUGGGUUUCUUUGUGAACAAACUGAAGAUGAAGCCUUCUAUGAUCUCCAAGAGUCCGAUUCUUCUACUACAUAGCUUGGAGAAGCGGAUUAUUCCGAGGUGUUCAGUUCUGCAAGUUUUGAUGUUGAAGGGGUUGAUCAAGGAGGAUAUUGCCAUCCCUUAUAUGGUUUCAAUGGCCGAGAAGGAAUUCAUGGUAAAAUUUGUGAGCAAGUAUCAAAAUGAGGUUCCUGAUGUUGUUAGCGCGCACCAAGGGAAGAUAGAAUUUCAAGGGCUCCCUAUAGCCUUGAAGAUGUGAGUACUUUUGACAUAAUCAAAUGCGGCAUUGGCUAAAGAUCAUGAGUUCAGUUUUAGUUCAACAUGUUUGCAGUUGGGUAAAUUACUUUCUGGAGGUGUCUCAGAAACUUUAUAUGUGCAGGAUGAUGCUUCCAUAUCGUGGAGAAAAAGGAAGAAGCACUUUUUACCGGAAACUGCACAGUUUUCAUGCCAAUGCACAUUUUUGUAUGGACUCUCUCAUAUUGACUUCCAGAUACGGAGACGAACACAAGCUAGCAGGAUUUUCUUAUUUUGCUGGUUUAUGAUGGGUUGAAAUGUUUGAUUGUGCAGAUUUUGUGACGGAGUUAGUCUACAUACAGACCUCAUUUCCAAAUGGAGAUUACUUAUGCAAGCUCAUACAAUUAUAUUUAAACAAAUUUUAAAAUUACAAUAAUAUUAUUUUUUAAAUCAU